rnacentral:rRNA from 1 species
GAAGCGAGACUGCAAAGUGGAGCGAAACCCAGAAAAGUACUCUCAGUUCAGAUUGUGGGCUGCAACCCGCCCACAUGAAGUUGGAGUUGCUAGUAAUCGCGGAUCAGCAUGCCGCGGUGAAUACGUUCCCGGGCCUUGUACACACCGCCCGUCACACCAUGGGAGUUGGGAGCGCCCGAAGCCGGUGAGGUAACCGAGAGGAGCCAGCCGUCGAAGGUGAGACCAAUGACUGGGGUGAAGUCGUAACAAGGUAGC